AUUUUCCGUUUCAGGUGUCUACGGUCGUGCGUUGUUUCACACGUCGAGUGUACAUGAUGAAGCAUAUACACAGAAGCAAAGGGGGCGCGCGAAUUGCACGAGACAACAAAUCUGUCGAUCCAGUUUAGCAACUGCACUUAACCUAUUUUCGUCCGGAAAUUACAUCGGCCACACACAUCUCUACGUAUUAUAUAUCUCGAUUGAAAACACGAUCGUCAUCGUGGAUGAAGAAUCUCCGGUUACCAGUUGAGUUACAGCCGCAACCACCGCUUUUUCAUCAAAGAAAUCUCUUAACGUGUCAUUGAAUUAAAAACGAUGACAUUUCACCGUUCACGGAUCGGCGUGUAUUUUUCUCGGCAUAAAUAUCGUUCGUAACUCGAACGAGGAUCUGGAGAAUCGUUCGUGCAUCCAUAUACACGCUGUACAUAUAUGCAUAUAUAUGUGCAAUAUACAGACAAACGUGUAUGCUCCAUAGAGGGACCGCCAUGGAACACUUGAAACGGAUUUUCAGCGGAGAAUACGGCGCAGUUAAAACAGUGACGACAGCUUUUAAUUGAGGCUAGGACGCCAAGUGAAAUAUUGGAAUUAAUCGCGAAACUUGCGUCGGCUAACGAACGAAGAGAGCUAUCGAGUUAGAUCAGUCAACGAAUAAUGGAAGAAUCGAUACAAUGUCGCUCCAUUGACGUCGCCGUGUUUUCAUUCCCCCUCGCCUAUAUCGUUCAAAAUACGAAAUUCAUCGCGGUUUCGGGUAAAGUUAUUGAUACAAUUUUUGAGGGAAAAGUGGAUUGUUUGUUCUCGACGCGCUCGAUGAUGGCGUGCUAAUCGUUCGUGUAAAACGAUUAUAUGGCGUUCAAAGUGACUUAAAGCCACCAAAAUUAUUAUUAUUUUAUUGCUUGUUAAUGACGAUUCUAUCUUUUCGAGUUUAACGAGUUUACAACUCUCGCAAACGUAAUGAACGAUUUCUAUGAAGGAUAACUCAUUUGUCUUAUUACGAUUUAACGAAGUAGUUAUUUACUUGACAAUCUGUUAUAAUGACAGAUGUAUUAUUUCAGCGAACAAUAUGGCUGACUUAUUUUUAAUGUUGCGGUCUGUUUGACUCUGAUGACGAUGAUUGACAAGCUAACAGGUAUAAUAUUAAAUAUAUUAUUUCACCAACAAAUAAUAUAGGUAAUAUAACUUAUUUAUGGGUUUGUAAUUUGCUAAAAUCUGAGGAUAAUUGAGGUUAUACUUUUUACAAUUCGCAUUAAUGAAGGAGUAAGAUUACAAUUGUAAAAUUUUCUCCUUCUAAGAACUAUAAAACGUAGGUGAAUCUACACGUUUUACUCGAUUUGAAAGAUUUAAAAUUCCAUGAAAUUUUUAAGUUUCUUCUAUAUAAUAUCCAAUGAUGUUUUGUCUCGUUACAGUGUUUCAAGGACUUUCGUUGCAACAGGAUGACUGUCGUUUUCAUUGGAAAGUAAGUGAUUUAAAGAGCUUGUAAAUUAAGUUGGCAUUUGCAAGAUUAUCGAUACAGAACAAUUGUUUCAACGAAUUAUAUGGGUAUACGGUAUGAAUGCAAAAUGGGCCAGAUAUAUAAUAACGUACUUAAUCAAUUUCGAGGGUGAACGCAUCAGAUCGUCAAGCUUCAAUGUAAAAUCUCGUCUCGCUUAUCCGACGGCGACAAGUGAACGCACGCAAUUUGGCGCUGUCAGCCGGAAACGCGGGAUUUUCAAAUUUUAAUCGAAUCCGUCUCGCCCGCGCGUUUUCCGUCGAUUAAACGCUUUACAAGCACGGACGGCCGCACGUCCUCCGACGAGGGGAAUAUUUCAUUGGCCGCGAUCCUGCAUAAAACAGCGCGAGAAAACGAAUUACUCUUGCAAGCUGACUGAAUUGCGUACGAUACAUUAAUAAUAAUACGUUAAUACGUCAGUCAUCGAAUAAAUAAAAUCGCGAAAUUAACGAGUAGUACCGAGUAAUUUCGUAUUUCCUUUUAAUGAUCAUUUAACGAGUCAUAUCGUCAAGGGUUAAAAAUUUAUGAUUGGCAAUAUGUUUCGCGAAAAAACAAUAUGCAUUUAUUAAAAUUGUAAGGCAUUUAUGUUCCACAUUUUUUGCAGUUAUUGCUAUUUGAAGGUAAUACUGGUCGUGAUGGUUUAGUUUUUGAUAAAACCUCGCCAUAGCCUCGGGCGAGGAAUAUUUCAUCGGAAAAUGCGAAAAAUCCCUAGAAAUGAUUAAACAUUCGAAUAAUAUCAACAGCGACGCUAGCCACCUGUUUGGGCCGCAUUUUUUCCAAUUUCGCGAUUCUCUAGCUGUAGAAUAAAGGAUGAUUGCCUACAAAAUAAACAAUUAUUACAAUACAACAGUUCCAACGUGUCAUUUGACCAUUCAAAGAAACUAGUUGCAGUGCUAGUGAAGCGUCUAGAUAAUAUCCCUAUUAGACACAGUUCGCUCGUAGAAGUCUCAAGUAAUAACAAACGCAAGUUAGUGCGAUUAGUAUAUUACUGGGCAAGCUUUCUAAAUUCACGAAUACAUAAGAAACAACCAUGUUGUUUAGCCAUCAUACGAGAAGAAUAACAAAAUCAUCCAUGCGCAAAAAAGAAGUCGAAGAAUGAUUCGACAAUGCGACAGAGGAUAUAAUAGAAGUCACGUGACGUACGUUCGUCGACGAGAGCGCCAUCGGAGAUCCGUAUGCGGCCACGGGUCUAUUCUCAUUCCGUUGAAACGAUAUCCACGGCAUAGUAAUGAAAACCCUGUUUCGUUUCCUAUGCAAAGGACCGGCGCGUACUUUUAAACGUGCCGUAAUAAUACCUUACUAGAAGCAAUUAAGUGCAAAUACAACCGAUUGGGAUGAACGUGCGCACCGGCGGAUGCAUUCAGGGGGUUAGGACGUGGAGAUAGGAUGGACACGGAGGAAGUGGCCCAGGAGAGGAGGGAGCGAAAAGAGGAAGGGACAGAGAGGAUAGAGAGAGGAAGGCAGAUCGGAAAUUGCUUCGAGCAUGCUCGCUCGCAAUAAUACCACGCCUGGCUAUGUGUGUGUGUGUGUGUGUGUGUAUGUGCACGUGUGUAUACCACAGUCUGGCCCUCUAUGUGUAACUACACGUACAUACGUGCAUAUCCGAUGUGUAGCUAUAGGUAUUUGCGUAUCUAUAUAUAUAUGUAUAGGCAUACCAAUACCAGAAUACGGUAAGAACAAAGCCGACGGCAAAUGACAGCAGUAAUUUUCGCAAACUGUUGUGGGAUGCGCGCUGUGGCAUUCAAGAAUACCGUGGCGUCGUUGCCGCUCUUCGAAAUGGUACUACUUUUCCUUUUCUCUUACAUACAUUCUUUCUUUGACGCCUUCAUCUCUCACGCUGAUGAUCCUCACAACUUACAGGUUUCUUUUCUGGCGGCGUGGUUUCGCUUUUUGAUACCACGGUCGAUAAGUAGCAGACGCUUGAAGACUUAAGAAGAAUUUUAUUGAUGAUUUAACGAGCUUAAUUUGGUAGUAUUUGACAGUUUAAUUUGAGUAAGAAUAUUCAACGUCGAAGGUAAGAAGUUCGAAAGCUCGGGGAACUUCAUGAAAACCAAUCAGGCAGAAUUAAUCCGAGGGCAAUGUAUGUCAAUAGACGUGACUGGUUCUUGUAAGGAUUUUUCAAUUGGUUAAGUAUGUAUUUAAAUCUUGACAGAUCCGUUAAGGCAUUUCUAUUUUAUUCUACGAUUUAUUUCUAUAAUCUUUUCUUAAUGUUUCGCGUGAAUCAUUUCGCCGUCUUCCAUUUCAUCUGACUCUGUUUCCACGAGUUGUUCUUUGCAUUCGACGACGGCACUUUGUUUCCUUUUUUCCCCUCAUCGCUCUAUUUCUUACUUUGUCGCUUCGUUCUCCGUCUCUAUCGUGCGUUCAUUUGUCACACUCGCGCUGCUAAGCCGCAUACACAUGUGAGCACGCGUUGGUGGUACGGUGUGUACGGUAAAGCUGGAUUUACGCUUCAGAAGGAUCGGAAUCUGUGGGAAACCGAGCGUCCAAUUGACCGGCCAACUGUUACAGCACCCUUGAUUCUCCAUAGAUUCGGAUUCGAGAUCAAGGCGCGAAAGCCGCGCAAUGAAUAUCCGACCGCACAUAGCCAUAGGAUAAAGGAAAGUCCAGAAAAUUUUGCGGUGCGACGCUCGCGAACACGUCUCAUUUAUCCCCCUUUUUCCGUGAUUGUUUGUAUGCAGCGAUGGUUAGCCUAAAAAAAAGCACUAGGAACCAGGAGCGUACAGAACGAGGACGAUAAAUUUUUCUGGUGUGCGGGAAAAACAAAGGGAACACGAACCAACGCUGUCUCUCUCUCUCUCUCUCCCUUUCUUUCUCUCGACGAAUUUCUCCUCGUAACAACCGAACAAUGAAAAAAAUGCAGUAAAAAAAGAGAGAGAGGAAUGAGAGACGUUUUUUAACGACGAGCCACUAUGUAUAUCACAAUCACGGAUUUAAAGAAAUUUCGAUGAAACGACAACAAUCUUGAUCAUCAGGGAUAAAAGAAAACCCGCUGAUCGUAAAUAUUUCGUUUCGUCUGGGAGCACGUGUGAUCCAUUAUUCAGGUGAGCACCUCCGACAGCUUAUGCUGCAAUAACUAAAUAAUGCCGCGCAUUCUUCCGCGUGCGAGCAUCGUUGAGCCUGGAGAAAGCCUUAGCCCGGGGAACGCUCGUAGCAUUAAGUCGUCGGAUGUCGAUGCCAGGCCAGCCGGCCGAGAGAGGAGAGCCUAGUAUAUAUGCGGUGUAUCUUGGCCAUGCAGAAGCGCGCGCGUGCAGCUGGAUGCACUCGCGUGCCGCCACGUAGCCAAUCACGUAGCACCGCACAAUACGCCGUGCCAGGGAAUAAUGCCCAAUUUUACACGAGGCAAGAUUGACGGCCGUAUACGUCCUUAUACAGGCGAGACGAAAUCGGCUUAAAAGUUUCAAAACUUGCCUGAGGCUGUGGCAAGACAAGGAACCAACGGAGUACUCUCGAGUGCAACAACUUUGAUAGGGGCAACAGCUCCAGGUAUUUCCGAUGUAUCGUUCGUAGAUCGCGCGGUAGGAAGAGGAGAACGGAGGAACGAAACCGGGAAAAAGAGUUUUAAUUUCUUCGGGAGCUCGCGGUCUGGCAUCCGUUCGUUCUACACGUGGAAAACCGUGUAAAAGCGGAACACAGCCGAAGGGGAACGGUGAACUGGAAGAAAAGUUACGUGGUAACAUGGCUCCUCGCUCGAAAGUCUGCCGCGCAGAGAGGUUCUUCGGUUGGGAACGAUAAAUGUCGCCCGUACGGCGAUUAUUCUGCCAAUUGCGAACACGGAGCAACCGUUGUAGCGUUGUAUCGAAGAACGAAUGGUAUUUCGAAUCGUCUUAACAUUUGUCUUGCUUUUCUCCAAUUUGGUACGAUCAUUGAAAUUAAUCAAAUGCCAAUAUACAUGCAAUGGCUACGGAAAAUAUUUUGCCAUUUUAUUGAUCAUGACAUUUACGUAUUAUUUAAUUAGGUUCCAGUAUAUUAAAUUUUG